rnacentral:rRNA from 1 species
ACGUGGGUAACCUGCCCAUAAGACUGGGAUAACUCCGGGAAACCGGGGCUAAUACCGGAUAACAUUUUGAACCGCAUGGUUCGAAAUUGAAAGGCGGCUUCGGCUGUCACUUAUGGAUGGACCCGCGUCGCAUUAGCUAGUUGGUGAGGUAACGGCUCACCAAGGCAACGAUGCGUAGCCGACCUGAGAGGGUGAUCGGCCACACUGGGACUGAGACACGGCCCAGACUCCUACGGGAGGCAGCAGUAGGGAAUCUUCCGCAAUGGACGAAAGUCUGACGGAGCAACGCCGCGUGAGUGAUGAAGGCUUUCGGGUCGUAAAACUCUGUUGUUAGGGAAGAACAAGUGCUAGUUGAAUAAGCUGGCACCUUGACGGUACCUAACCAGAAAGCCACGGCUAACUACGUGCCAGCAGCCGCGGUAAUACGUAGGUGGCAAGCGUUAUCCGGAAUUAUUGGGCGUAAAGCGCGCGCAGGUGGUUUCUUAAGUCUGAUGUGAAAGCCCACGGCUCAACCGUGGAGGGUCAUUGGAAACUGGGAGACUUGAGUGCAGAAGAGGAAAGUGGAAUUCCAUGUGUAGCGGUGAAAUGCGUAGAGAUAUGGAGGAACACCAGUGGCGAAGGCGACUUUCUGGUCUGUAACUGACACUGAGGCGCGAAAGCGUGGGGAGCAAACAGGAUUAGAUACC